CAAACUCAGAUGUUGAGCGUGAAGGAUAACGUUGCGUCAGCAACGGCCCGAAGGGCGAGGCGAAGCCGAGUCAUCCUGCACGACCCACCA
rnacentral:sRNA from 2 species